UGGACUCUGGUGGAGAUAACCAAGGGAGGAGACAGAAGAGGGAAUGGAGAGGCAAAAGUAACAGGAAAAGUAUUGCAUAAAUAUGGAGGAGUGAAGGUCAAAGGUAAGGACGAAAUGGAAACUAUGAAAAAUAGCAUGGUGCAAAGUCACUGAGAACUUUAAAGGUAAGGAAUGAACGCAUUUGUGCUGAAUUCAUAAAUGGGCAAGGAUUUAACAAUAUAUGUAAUGAGCCACAUAAACAGAUUUUUAAAAGCAACUACUCUGUAUUUAAAAAUACUGCCAGUCUUAAUGUGCUACCACUAGAUAUUUCAUACAAAGACAUAACUGUAGUAUGACAACCAGUUAGGAUGUGUGCUGCAACAGCCUAACAAAAAAGCAUUGACAUAAGAAGCUGAGAUGAUUCCUCAUGCUAAUCUGAACAAUCAUUUCUAUGAUAUGAAAUUCUAUGAACAGCACAUAUGACAAUAGCUUACAACAAACAUUUUGGGGAAACUUGCUUUCCAGUGCUAUCAGAAACUGAAGCUGGGGCAGAAUUUCGUAACCCACUUAAAAGCUGGGUAAGAGCUGAUGUCACAAAUGUUACACCUGCAUAGACGGGUCUGCUCUGACUUCUUAGGCUUUCCAACAUGGGCCAAUUUCAGGACUCAUUUUGUGCCAUGAAUCUAAUGCAUAUUCUAAUAUGCUCAGAACUGAAUCUAUAUUGCUUUUUCCUAAGAAAUACUAAGUACCGUAAUUGUUACUGAUGUUCAAACAUUGACUCAGUAAAACUAUCACUUACCUGUUUCACAUCAGGAAUUUCUGAAGGCUUGCCAUAUAUAAUAAAUGCUUUAUUAAUUUUUUUUAAGGAAAGAAAAUACAUCCCCUUGCCUCACCUGCCAUUUAAACUAAUCAAGAUUUUGAUUUGAUAUUCAGGCCUCUAAAUUAUCACUGUUAAUUACUUCAUGACUCAUGACUGAAUCCCAAAGCAACUCCCAUUUCUGAACAUUUUAAUUGUAAUGUUGAAUAACUCUUUGUGUGCUUGCACUCUUAAUGGUGCUGUUUGAUAGUUCUGCUCCUUUUCAGUUUUACUGCUUGAUUGUUCUACUCGUUGUCUAUAUGAUACCAUGCACUUAUAUUGUGAUUACUCAUAUCUGCCUCUUGUUGUCCACCACUGCAACCUCUACUGCCAAAUAUCCAGUACAGUACUUCAUUUAAGAUGCUUCCUAGACUGAGCAACCUAAAUCAUGCUUACUGGUACUGCUACCUCUCAGCCUACUCCUAUGGACCCCUGGGCCCAUAGCUGUCAACUUUUCCCUUUUUUAAAGGGAAAUUCCCUUAUUCCGAAUAGGAUUCCUCGCAAGAAAAGGGAAAAGUUGACAGCUAUGCCUGUGCCAAUAAGCAAAAAUCGGAUGUAAGAAUUGUAGCAUUAAUGCUACUUUUAAACCAAUGUGCUGCAAUGACAGAGCAGUGUCCUACAGUAUUGGUAACCUCAGCUAUUAGUAUUUGUGGCGUAACAGAAGUAAGCUUGUUGUUACAUGAAGAUGGCAUAGCCAGGGGGUGUGGCUGUCAGAAAAGUGGGACAGGAUCAAGGACAACUCACACGUGACAGUAAAAGUCAUUGAGACACAACAGAGGCAACACUUCAGAGGUCAACACCUAGAAAUACCCCCCCUUCCAAUAAUCUAGCUGGUUGUGGGUAAAAGCCUCAACUGGCCCUGUUUUGCAAAUGCCUUCAAAGCAGCAAAAUCUAUCUGACUUUUCCUUUUAAAGCCCGGAAGGGCUACUGGUUUACUAGCUAGUUGGGAUAUAUAUGUAAUCACCAAUGGAUGGACAUUCUGUUGGCAUUAUUUCAGGACAAAGGAGAACUUUAACAAGAUACUGCAAUAUAUUCUCAUCCCCUCGCAGGAGUGUUGCUGUUCAGGGCCCCAGCCAGCCAGUCAGCCAGCCAGCCAGCCAGCCAAGCCCACUGACAGAAGCCAUUCCAUUUUACCUCCACCACCCAAGUCAGUAAUUUUUAUUCUCUAACCCAAACUCCACAUUCUGUAGCUAUUGAAUAUGGUCAGUCCCCAGCCCUCAUUGGGUUGGUUUCUUUUUCUUUUCUUUUUGCAGGGUGUCCUCUUGGGGUUUGGUGUUUUGUUUUUGUUUUAUAUUUCUGAAACUACAGUGCUAUUGUUAUCCCCCCUCUUGUUUCUCAAGAGGCCAAGAGGCUGUGCUUGGCUCAUUUUCUCACCACCUGAAUAUGCUAACAAGAGGGAGUGAUAGAGGAUUUGCAGAGGGAACAAAUAGGGUAUUUGUUCCCUCCUCAGAGCUGUUUGAUCUUGCCUUCAGCUCAUGCCUUCCCUGUCCUUUAUCCCUCUGCUUCAGCCUACUUCCCUGGAUUCCAAUCUUACCUCAAGCCUAGCUAACCGUGAUGAUUACCUUUCCUCUCAAAACUAAUGCGCACAUUCGCAUUAGCAAUUCAAGCCCAUCCCAAUCUGGUUUUCAUAGUCUGGCUAUGGCACUGACUGUGUUUAUGGCCCAGACUGAUUAUCUCCACCUAGAGUCUGAUAAGAGGCACUGCACCCUCUUAAUCCUCUUCCAUCUUUACUGUGACCUUUGAUACAGUUUACCAUGAGAUGUUGAUGAUGCGAUGCUGUGAUUUGGCAAGGAGGACCUAUAGUUUGGUGAUGGGUCAUUGCUCAUCAGGUGGUUCCCUGUGACAUUCUCCAGAAUGUCAUUGUCUCUGCCCACUGCAUGAGGCACGUGUCUCCUGGUACUUCAUUAUAGAGCAGGGAGGGAAAACUGGAUCCUACCAGCAAGCCACAUCUUUAUCUACUCCACCCCAUGUCCCACAGGCCAAGUUUGACAGGUGGGUGGGGCCCUCUACCUGUCAAUCACCUGAAGUCGCAAUGACUUGUUUUUGCUCACAUGGUUUGAAAUUGAAUUGUAUGGCUCAGGGCACAACGCUUUGCAAGCUUCAGUGAUUACUUUGUAUACUGAGCAUGCAAGUGCGGAGUUUGCAGGCACUAAGGAUCAGGUGAUCUUGGGUGUUUGCAAAGCCUUGUGCACAGCACUUUUGCACGCCUCAACGAUCAGCUGGUCAUCAACACUUUCCAAACAAGGUGUGUGCAGCUUUGAGGGUGCCACUAAUCAGCUGGUGGUUGGUGUCUGCAACCCCCCACCCUUUCGGCUCAGUUGUGGGGGGCAGGAGGGUGUAGCUUGGUCAAAACAGGCUCGCAGGCCAAAUGAGGAGGAGUGGCAGGCCAUUAUGAGACCCACUGUUGUUCUAGGGCCAGCCUUGAUAGUGAUGACUUUCCUAACUUUGGGUGAUUUAGCACUGAUCAGUAAGAAACCCAUAUCAAUGUGCUUGCUUAUUUAUGGAAGAUAAAACAGUUUAAGCAUAAAAAGCGGCUUUUGAGGUUUAGCAUGCCCUUCCAAAAAUAUAGAGAGUAAAAAAGUUUAAUAAGACCUUCUGCAGGCCACCCACUCACAUUGCCCAGAUCAGCAUGUAGUUAUAGGAAGGGAGAAGGCUGAAGAUGGGGGGUGACCUUAUCUGGAGAUGUGGGGCAGAGCCUGAAGGAUCCAGCUUAGCUGGUGGGGAGGAGAGUGAGAGAAAGAAUCAGAAAGGGGAAGAGUUCACAUUCAACCCACUGGCUUUCCUGCUUUCCUCAUAACUGAAAGAGAGCAAGAUUAGGGGACUAAGGAAGUUGGAAAGAAGUCAUAGACCUAUAGGGUGCUCUGUGGUCAGAAUCAAGAAUCAGAGCAUUACAGCACAAGAUAAGAAGGGGGCAUUUUGUGACAAGUCUAGCUAAGAGAGGCCCACAAAUAUGUGCAGUUCCUCUGGUGAUAAUGGUGGGUAAAGCAGGGUUGGGGGAGGGGCAGAGAGGGUGUAAUGAAGACUAGGAAUCCACUAAUGCAGCUGUCAUUCCUAACAGUGGAAAUCACUGCACCCCUGCCUUGCAAAAAUAUAUAGUUGCAAUGACACCGGCCAAGGGGUCUGGUAAAAAUGCUUAUUAUAAAUGGUGUGUGUGAACAUUGCUGAUAAACGAUAAUGCCUUUAAUUUUCUUUUUCUUCUAGACACCAUACAUGUGACACGAGAAAGCUGAUAAAAAGCAUAGGAGUGCUGACCCCUAAGGCAGCAUAGAUUUUGACUGUAUGUAGGCUGCUUUGGGAGCCUUUUUAGUUGAAGAGUGGGGGGACAGGUACUCUAAAUAUUUGUUUUGUUUGUUUGGAAGCUAUAUCACACCUUUCUGCUAUAUUGUGUCACAAACACCCUGCACCUAAUAGCCAGUUGGCACCUAACGCAGAAAGUCCUUAGUGCGGCAUGCCCAAGUAUGCGGUGUUAUGUAUGUAUGUUCAUAUGGACUUGGGCUGCUGUCGCUAGCAUGAAGGCCUGGGAACCAGAAGCCAAGAUCACACUGGAGCAUAUAUUCCAGCUGUGACCAUCCCACAGGACCACCCUUGGGGGGGGGGGAUAGGUGCUGUUGCCCUCUGCAAUGUGUGCUCAUCAUCUCUGCCAUUCAUUUAAAGCUGUGGGUGUUUGACCUGUGCAUCUCUUUUCAUGACGGUUAGCAGAGAGGAAGCCUCUCCCACAAUACUCACUACAGUUAUUUCCAGGGUGGCCUGGGUUUUACGCUGCCCCAUCCACCAAGGCUGAGAGACGUCAUCCAUGGGGGGGGGCCACCAGGUGGCGCAUUGGAAGAUGGCCGACAAUAACAUCUCUCCGACCCACACGAGGUAAUAAAGAGGCUGCUAUGGGAAGUAUGCAGUCUUCCUACCCCCCCAAGGAGAUGGGAGGGACAGCCUUGCCAGCGACGUCCAUAAUGCACCCCCGGAUUCGAAAGAAGGGGGUGCAGGACAUUUGGCAUCAGCCCUCGAUGGGUUCGGCGCUUCCUGACGCUGUCUCCAAUCAGUGACCUGGUUCGCUUCAGCUCGAAAAUAUAAUUGGAAAUAUAUAAUUGGAAUGAAGCUGAAGCUGAACAUCAAGCAAAGUUCGAGAGAUAAGGCUGGAGAUUAAUGCAUCUCUGUGUUUGGAGUGACAGGAGGAGACAAAUAAAUCAAGCGAUGUCCACCAUUACGAGACUGGUAUGUGCAGAGUGAAAAAAGAGGGGGGGUGGAGGAAAAAACUUUUAUUUUCUUUGCCUCAUGUGAGUAUUUAUAAACCUCCACCCCAGAGGGACUAAUCGUCGCCUUUUACUAAUCGCAAGCAAGAAUUUAAGAGCUGUGUGGAGUGAAUUAUUGAUUGAAGAGAGGACUGGUAAAUAUGGAGUGUGGAGGAAAAAUUCUAUGACGCAGUUUUUAAUGGCGUCUUGCUAAGACAGGCUUGUUGAAGAAAGACGAGGGGAGGAGGACCAGGGUCAUUGGAAUGUAAAUGAUGGAUUGAAUGUGAUAACCUGGCAGAGCCCCUUUGUGAUAUACGUGGCAAGCUUGGGAAAAUUAGUAGGACAGACCGAGGAUAAAUUUUUGAAGAAGGGGAGGAAUGGCGGCUGUCCUUAUGAGAUAUGACUUUUGGAGUGUGCAAAACCCACACAGAUGUUGUUUGUUCCUAACCUGCUUGUGAAGACUAUCAGAGAUUGCAAAGAAAGGAAUACCUGAUAACAACAAGAAGAUGAAGAAGUAAUAAAGAGACUAUCUGGACAGAUCUGGAUAGAACCGUUUGAUAAAAGCAGUAACAGAAGUGAUGUUUUGAUUCUCGUUCGGAGCUUGAUGUAAGUGUACCCCCAACAAAAUUUAAAAAUCUGGCUGUAUAAUUUGGAAGUAAUAUGAUUUGGAAAUAAUGUGAUUGGACUGGCCUGUUAAUAAAAAUUAUGUUUUUUUAAAAAGAGAGACGUCAUCCAUCUCAUGGCCUUGCCACUGGAGGUCCUUGCAGCUUAUAGACCUGCUAGUUCUUCCUCUCUCUCAUUAUUGCCAGCAGGACAACAAACUCACACACUGGGAUGCCAUAGGGUGAAGGGAGAGGGAGAGAAACUACUCUCUAGCCACUUUCUCCACACUAUUCUACCCAGCAGUGGGUUGAGCCAGUUAAAGUCCAGAAGGUCAGUUUCAUGGAAGCCGACAGAGAAAAUAAAAACAUCUAUGGUUGGCAACCAUGAUGUGAACAUGAAGGAGGAGCUUGUUUUGCAAGCUUCCCUGCCCUCUCAGUCUAUGUCUUUAUUGCCCCCUCGUGGUGAGAGCUGGUGCUCAGCAGAAGAGAAUGAACUAAUUCAAGCUUUUAGUGGUUCAAGUAAAAUAGUUCCCGGCCCCCCACUGAAUUGUGUCAGAAGCAACCCUCACACACCACAACCAGUGUUUUGAUGCCCCCCCCCAGCAUAGCUGUGAAUGGAGGUGCCUAACCCUGAAGUUAAAUGAAGGAAAUGUGAAAGUAGAGUGUGCGCUAUACAGUCUCCUCCUCCUCCUCCUCCUCCUUCUCCUCCUCCUCCUCCUCCUCCUCCUCCUCCUCCUUCUUCUUCUUCUUCCCUUCAUCCGAAGAUCACAGGACAGUUCACAACAGAAAAUACAAAAUAAGAAAACAAAAUACAUAGUAAAAUAAAAACAAGAACAAACCAAUAACCCCCCUGGCAAAGGAACAUUUAAAAGGCCACACAUAGAUUUGUUUAAGCAGCCAAAAAACCCAUCAGGAUGGUGGAUUGAAUCCUGAUACUGUACUUUCAGAGAAGACGCGCAGGAAAGCCUUGCAGCUAGGGGGAUGUGUUCUUUGGGGAAGAGGGUGGUUAAAAGGCAUUGGGAACCGGAAUGAUUGACUGGGGUGGGUGACAGUUUCAUGUUUCUGCAUGCCAACCACUCCUCUUUCAUGACGUUUUGAUGGUGAUGUGAGUGGUGUCUUAUGGGAAAUCUGGGAAAAUUUCAAAAGUCUGCGCAGCCCCAUGCUCUUGGUUCUUUCUCUUUUUGCACUUGAACCUUUGUUGCAACAAAUAAUGACCAGAUCUACUGACCGGUGAUUAGCUUCUGUAACUUGGCUGGAGACUCCUUUUUUGCUGACUGGAGGGACCCACGGGGAGUGGCACCCCGACGAGCUGGGUUGCGGAAUAAGUCCUGUACCCCCAUUAUAGAGAAACCUUUUCACCUUGCGCCUAAAGAUAUGUAAUGAAAGCACCAGGAGGCCUAUUUGGGGAGUGCAUUCCACAAAUAAGGACCUACUACAGAAAAGGCCCAUUCUCAUACAGUAUUGUUACCUUCUGGACUUCUUGUGGAGAAGGCAACCAAAAAAGGGCCUCAGAUGAUGAUUGCAGGGUCUAGAUUGGUUCAUAUGAGGAGAGGCAACCCUUGAGGUAUUGUGGUCCUGGGCCGUUUAAGGGGUGAUGAAUAUUUUUUUCAGACAAAGCACUAUAUUGCCUCAUGGGGAACCUUCCAUGGGUCCCUCUCAUGACCUCGUGGUUACUAGAUCCAAACAUGGAACAUAAUAUCUUUUGCUGGGUUGUACACCAAGCUGUAUGAAAAAUCCAUACAGAACUCCCCUUUAUUUUAUAUAUGAUUCUAUAACAUAAUAUAAGAAAGCGAGGGAGUUGGUAGAAUAUACAAAGGAUUAUCCAAGUGUAGCAAACAUAUUGAUUAGGACAAAGCUGUUUCAGUACUCAAGGGUCAACAAAUCGUCUGUUGGUUUUUGUUCUAAUUAUCAUUUCUCAGGCCUUCUGUUUCAUGCCCUGUGAACCUGAUACUACUGAUUCAUUUUAAUGUAAUGUUCCCAUGGAAACAUGCUGUUGCCUUUCUGUUUCCUUAGUAAAUGCUUGCAUGGUGAGUGUCCCAAGCAUUGGACUAUAAAGAUCUGCGGUAUUUUUAGAUGCUGAACUCGCAUUUCAGUGAACAUGGCGUAUCUCUGUGUGGCAACAGUUCACAAACAACACUGCUAGAAUGUGAUGUUUGUGGGUGUAAGAAGGAUAUUACUGAGGUGAAUAAUAAUAAUAAUAAUAAUAAUAAUAAUAAUAAUAAUAAUUUUAUUGUUUAUACCCCAUCCAUCUGGCUGGGUUGCCCCAGCCACUCUGGGUGGAUUUGCAGAAACAUACACCUUUCAACAAAUUAUUGGAAUGUAUUUCAUGUUUUAUUUACAUCUACAAGUGUUUCUCUUGUGCAAUAAAUCUCAAUCUCUAGUGACUCUGAAGCCUGCCUCAAUGUGUGAAGUGGGUAAGUAAACAUUGGCGAAGGAGUAGUGAAUCAUUCAACUGUCUAUGCUGUACUAUUCCCAAUCCAGUUGGUGUUGUUAUAAUCUGCCAACAUGACUCCCAAGGAUAUUCCUUUUAUAGCUCAGAGGCACCUCUGUCAUUCCCUUUAACAGAAAACGCAGUCAAUGCCCACUGGGCCCAACAUCAGGACCCAGUAUACCCAAGAAGCUAUUGGGAUACACCCGCCACAGCACCUUGAUUCGAUUCCCAUAACUACCCCACCUCAGCAUUGUGGUGUUUCACACCACUGCAACCACUGUGAUCUAGGUGACUACGUGCAUGGGUUCCUCCCUCCUCUUGAGUAAGGUAAAGGUAAAGGGACCGCUGACCAUUAGGUCCAGUCGUGACCAACUCUGGGGUUGCGGCGCUCAUCUCAUUUUAUUGGCCAAGGGAGCCGGCGUACAGCUUCCGGGUCAUGUGGCCAGCAUGACUAAGCCACUUCUGGCGAACCAGAGCAGCACACGGAAACGCCGUUUACCUUGCCACCGGAGCAGUACCUAUUUAUCUACUUGCACUUUGAGGUGCUUUCGAACUGCUAGGUGGGCAGGAGCAGGGACCGAGCAACAGGAGCUCACCCCGUCGCAGGGAUUUGAACCGCCGACCUUCUGAUUGGCAAGUCCUAGGCUCUGUGGUUUAACCCUCAGCGCCACCCACGUCCCUUCCUCUUGAGUAGUCUCAUGUAAAUGGAAGCAUCCAGCAGCUAGCUGUGCACCUUGCUGGUGGCCCUGAAGAUCCUGGAUAACUUGUCAUGUGCUCUACUCCCAUGGCCCUGCUAUUAACAAGCCCAGGCAAUGUGUCGGUCCUCUGGUCAGAAGGCACUGCAGGAACAGUGGGCUCUUUAGGAUUGCUGGUGAUGCUGAGUUUCUCUGGGAGCCCUGUUCCUCCCAGAAGACCUCAGGCUCAGGAUGGUAGAUGCCAGCAGAAAUGGAGUCCAAUGGGACUUCUAAGAAAUGAAAGGAUAGCAUGUUCACAGAAGUGUUUUGGUUUUUUUAGAAACCAAUAACAACCAAGAUUGGGCACCCCCCCCCCCAAAAAAAGCUGCCCAGUGAGGACUGAUCAUGUUCAGUGGUCACUGGGAGCUGCAGAAUGUUGAGUGUCCGUUGGGGGCAGGGGAAACCGAAGGUGGGAGGGGGAGAGGGACUUGGCCUGUUUGCAUGCCUUACAGAUUAUAGCUGCCGGGCAGCCUUGCAAGAAUGUCACUGUCAAAUGGCAGACCAAACUGAUGGAAUAUGCAGAAGUGGCAAGACUGACGGGGAAGAUCAGAAACCAGGAAGACCAAGUAUUUUUAAAAGAUUGGAAUGACUUUUUAGUAUAUGUAAAAGACUACUACAGCCAGCUGAAAUCAUUGGCAGGAAUACAGUGAAACUUGGAAAGUGAAAUGAACUUUGGUUACUAUGAUUGCAUAAUAAAUAUAAAACGGUAAAAAGAUUCAGGGGGAAAGGAACAAAUCUUUAGAAAUGGAACCCAUGGAGGGAGGGGAAGAGGUCUGAAGGAUCAAAGGAACCUUUUUAUUUUUAUGUUUUGGAAUGGAUAUGGUCAGUGGGUUUUUUCUUAAAAAAAUGUUUAUGGGUACUCUCAUUUUGACUCAAGAAAAUCACCAUUUUAUAGUUGAAAUCAGAAAAAAUAAAUACAGUAAAUGGGCAAAAGUACAAAGAUUCACAAAAUGUUUAGGGGUCUGCGUACCCCCCAGAAAAAACAACAACCACUGGAUAUGGUUAUUGUGUAUAACUUUAUGUAAAAAUAAUUUUAUUUUAUUUUAAAAAAGAGAAUUCUAGUCAGCCUUAUGGUAUUGUGAGUCAUACCAGUCGGGUAUGGUUUAGUAAUUCCGCUCAUGUUCAAUAAAAAGUGACGUACAAGGGGGAAAAAGAAGAAGAAAAAGAAUGUCACUGUCAAAACCACACCCACCAAAACCUGAGGGAUAAAAGUGCAAAAAAGAACACACAACUUCACAAUCAGAUUCUUUUCUGGUGCUGUUUCAGAUCUUUCAUAAAAGUUGAACUAUCUGUGUUAGGAGAAAAUAAGUGACUGGAAGGAGAGGUCGGCAUGGGGUACUUUCAAAAAGAUAAUGAUAUUGUGUGGAGCCCUGUGAAAACCCCCAUAAUGAACCAUAAAGAAGUCACUCUGCUUGGAAGCACCCUUGGAUUAUUGACAAUAAAAUAGGAAGCCACUGAACUUAUAACCAGGCCUUUAAAACAGAGAAGUUUUAUGGACCAUAUAAAUAAUCAAAAUACAAAUUUCCUUCAAAUAUUUGGAAACUUGUUCUGGUGGAAAGUGGCUUAUAUACAACUUUUAAUUCCACAGACAGUUGGGAUGUUCUGAGAACUGUGUAACAUUAUCUGUCUGCCGACGAUUUGAAUGUGGCCUCUGAGAAACAUGAUAUUCCUGAGUGCAGGAGACUACAAACGCCGCUUGUGCAUGCACACCCGAGAAUAGCACUAUGAGCAAUAUGUUACAUGACAUGCUAGGGCUGCGUGCAAUGACAUCAGGAUUGAUUGACACAAAUAGUAGCUAUGGUUUAUAUUCAGGUCACAUCUAUUUUAACACUCAGGCAUCUAUCAGUGGUUUUCAGGCCAUGUCACAACAUACAAGGCCAGGACAUCUGGACAUAAGCCAGGAUAUAAAGGCAGGCAGGUGUGAAGUGUAUUCCUGCACUAUUUUACUUGUUCACAAGGUAAGUAAAGGGAACAGGAUAAGGAAUUAUUAAUACCCUUAUGCUGUAAUUCUAGAAAUGGGAAUGUGCCAUUUAGCUCAAUGUGACUCACCUCCAAGCCGAUAUGUCUAGGAUCACACAGUUAAUCAGAUAUAGUACUUUGUUUUGUAUCCCAUUCAGUCCUACUCAGAGUAGACACACGGAAAUGAAUAGACCAACAUUACUUAUAUCCAUGAUUUCCAUUGGCUACAACAAUAAUUCUGGAAACUCUUUCUGAUAAUGAAAUAUACCGUAAUUGAACAGAAAGGAUAACUUAUUAAUGAGAGCGGGAUACACGCUGGGAAAGAAAGGGGUCUUUCUCUGUUUUAUAAAUUUAUAUCCCAGUCAUAUAGAAGGCAGAGUUUUCACAAUAGAGCCUGGGAACCUCUCUGAUGCAACAUAGAUAGAUAUAGAUAGUUGGGCAUCUGAUGAGGCCCAUGGCUGACACCCAGAGCCACCUUCUCCUUGCUGUUUCUGCCUAUUCACUGUUGUCUCCAAGGCUUUAGUGGGGCUGAGCCAAGCAGUGAUAUCAACAAGUAGGACUAGCACCCUCAUGUGCCCUGCCCUCUCCUUCUGGGCAGUGGUAUGGAUUGGGCCCAGAGGGAGACACUCAUGCCAAUGGCAAGAAGGGGGGACAGACUCUGGGAUGAGGCCAGCUGAGGACGUUUUGCCCAAGGCUGCCAUCUCAAAACUGUGGAGCUGCUACUGGCGGUGCAAAGGAUGGCACUCAUGUUAUGCUGGCAUUAGCCCUGACAUAACAGCCACUGGGAUGGUUGGAUCAUAACAGGAUUAGCCUGCUAUAGCCAUGUUCUUCUGAUAGAGAGUUUCCUUGCCAUAUAUAACUAUCAAUAUAUAUUUUUUUCUAGUAGGGAGAGCUUCACUGAGGUGUCAAGUGACAUGCAAAACAGGUGUGAGGAGACAGUUGUAGGCUAUUAUAUCAGCAUGAAAGAUCUUGUGAUGCAUGUGGGCCGCUGUAUCCCAUCCCGAUCAUGUUCUGGCAAGGGGUCUCUUCAAAAGGAAAGUGAAAAAAGACAGAAAUACACAUGACGUCAAUGUUAGCUUUCACAGUGACUUUGGUUUAUUCUGUCCUGUAAACUACAGACUUUCCCAUUAUCAUCAUUACAUUUAUACUCCACCUUUCCUCCCAGGAGCUCAGGGUGCAGCACAUAGUUCACUCCCUUCUCCGUUUUAUCCUCGCAACAACCUUGUGAGGUAGGUUAGGCUGAGAGAGUGUGACUGCCCCAAGGUCACCUAGUGUCACGAGAACAAUUCUGUUCCUUUAAUACUCAAUCAACUGCUGAAGAUAUUUAGCAUUUAAGUCAUAUGACCUCAGUAAUGAUACUUAUCCUUUUUAUUUCACUUACCCUAAGUGCUCACAUGCAACCUCUACAGCAGCUUUAUGAGGUAGGUUUGGUUCAUUUUGCCAAUAUAACAGGAGGCGAGAAUGAGGAAGAUAACACUUGUCUAAGUGCCUAGAAAGCAUGAGUCUGACCAGAUUUCCAUUUGUCUUAAUGCUUUCCCUGGAAAACCCACUGGUUACCACUGAAUCAGAGCUAAUGUCAAUCCUGAUUUAUAUUUGCUCUGAUUCAGCGGUAAACAGCAGGUUUUCCCUGGGGGAAAGUGGCAGGACAAGCCGAUGUGUGGACGAGCCCUAAGGCUACCUAUGACAUUAAAUCAGGGGUUUUCAGCUCACCAUUGUGCUUUUACCCAAUUACCAAGCAUUGCAUUAGAAUUUGGUCUCAGGGCCUUUACGGACUGCUUUAUUGCAAGUGUCUUUAACCCCAUAGCACAGCAUUAAUGAUAGAUUUAUUUUGCUUUCUUUUUUGUUCUGUGAUGCUUCUCCACUGCUUACCACACCAUUGCUAUCUGGAGGGGUUAUAACCAGUGCUUUUUUUUUUCCUAGGAGAAACAGUGCUGGUGCUCAACAGGUUCAUGGUGAUUUGCCUUCCACCACCACCAUCCCUUUUCACAGGGGUGCAUCACGGAGCCCCUCAAAAUGUCUGCCACCUGAUGAGCAAGACAGUCAGACACCUGUCCUGUCCCUUCCCCUCAUAGUGGCUAAGCCACACUGUACCUGCACUGCCGCCCAGCCAUGCAUGUGCACGCUCACAAGAUUGUUUUUUGGGGGAAGGUGCCAGUACUGUGUCCCACUGAGUAACCACCAGAAAAAAGCACUAUAACACAACAAAAGCAGCAACCCCUUCUACACACAAAAACACCAGAAGAUUUGUGGCAUGAAAAGUUAUAUGAUUUCAGCAGGAAGUUACAAGCUAUUCACUGAUGGGAAAUGAAGCAGUAUUACUGCUGCAAAGCCUCUGCAGACACAAACGGUAUUGAAAUCAGGAUUGUGUAUGACUACUCCAAUAGCAUAAUGAGAACAAAUUGUUGUGAAUGAACAAUAAAAAAGACAUUGAGGGGCACUCAAGCUCUUCUGACUGCAACCCCUCCACCUGGCUGCUGAUAAAGAGUUAGGGCUGGGGUUCACUCGAUUGGCACAACUCAGAGACCAGCUUCCACUCAACUCUUAUCCUCC
rnacentral:lncRNA from 1 species